rnacentral:rRNA from 1 species
UACGGAGGGUGCAAGCGUUAAUCGGAAUUACUGGGCGUAAAGGGCACGCAGGUGGCUUGGCAAGUCGGAUGUGAAAGCCCCGGGCUUAACCUGGGAAUUGCAUUCGAUACUGCCGAGCUAGAGUAUGGGAGAGGAAAGUGGAAUUCCCGGUGUAGCGGUGAAAUGCGUAGAUAUCGGGAGGAACAUCAGUGGCGAAGGCGGCUUUCUGGCCCAAUACUGACACUCAUGUGCGAAAGCGUGGGGAGCAAACAGG